rnacentral:tRNA from 1 species
AUUUAAAUAGCUUAAGUAUAAAGUGAAGUGUUGAAGCCACUUAGAUAAUUUUUUAAUUUUUAAAUG